ACAUCGGUUGCACAGUGGUUAGUGUAGUCUGCCACAAACAGAAAGACCCGGGUUCAAUUCCUGUUUGAUGUC
rnacentral:tRNA from 1 species